rnacentral:lncRNA from 1 species
GUGGGCACGUUGUCGUCCAGAGAGCAAGAGCGUCGCUCCCCCUCGCCUUCUCGGCCGCCCUCCCGGUUUACCGCCCCCUGUGUCCAGAGUAAGAAAAGGCUAGGGUUGCGCUUCCCUCCCAAGUUGACUAGGGGUGGGCGCGAGUAAAAUCAUGACAUAUUCGAAUUCCAGUGGACAUUAGAUAUUCUUUGAGAGACGGCAGGUACUUGAGUAAACAAGAAAUGCCCACCAUAGGCCUGAAGGAGAAGUUUCCCUUUUAACCUACUCUCUUGGAUCACAGAUGGAGAGACAUUUUGCCACACGAUGAAUCACACACCACAUCUCAUCCCCGAGCUUCAGCUGCAGGACAAUGCUGCCAGAGGCCUGGUCCUCAGAGCUCACGUAAGCAUCUCUGGUGUGCAGUAUUUUUACUCCGUUUUUGACCAAAGACACCUGAACAUUCCUGGAGAAAACAGUGAUGUGGUAGGUGAAGUAAUAGACCCCAGCAAUGUGGCACGUGAAUUUCCCCACUGCUGUAUCAUAAUGGUUGAAUUCAUUAUACAGGAUCUUAUCAAAUUUAAUGGGCACAUCUGAAGAAGGAAACUUGCUCAGCACCGUGAGCCCCACAGUGAAAGCACUUUUUGGCAAGA